rnacentral:rRNA from 1 species
AUGGAUGUAGAUCAAAGAGUUCAAUGGAUGAAAGAAAAUUCUAAGGAGACAUAUGAGGAAGCAAAAGAAUCUAAUAAGUAUUGUUUUCUUGAGCAGAACUUCAACAGCGAAGAACUGAAGAAGGAAUUCGACGACAUUGACAACCUUAGUGAAAAGAGACUAGAGGAGCUUCUGGAUCUAUUCCUAGAAGAUUUCAAGGCCAACUUGAUAGAGGCACAUGGGUGGCCCACCGGUGGCUCGUCGGCCUACAAAGUCGCCAAAGCUGCCCUGAAUGCAUACACGAGGAUCCUUGCCAAGACGUUCCCUCCGAUGCGCAUCAACUGUUUGACGCCUGGUUUUGUCAAGAGUGACAUGUCGAUGCACAUGGGGGUGUUGACGCCUGAGGAGGGCGCUAGCAACCUGGUUAAGGUCGCUCUCUUGCCCGACGAUGGCCCGACGGGUGCUUAUUUUGAUAGGGACGGCGUGGCGUCGUUUGUGUGA